CUGCGUCCUCCAAAGCCAGAUUGGUAUUUCGAGCUCUAUGGAUGGUUUAGGAGUUCAGGAAUGGAAAGAUACGAGAAAGAGAUUGCGGGUUACAAGAAGAAACUCUUUAGUCAGGUGGGAGACGCAGAAAAGGUUUUGGAGAUUGGUAUUGGAGCUGGUCCGAACAUCAAGUA